rnacentral:rRNA from 1 species
GACGAACGCUGGCGGCGUGCUUAACACAUGCAAGUCGAACGGAAAGGCCCUGCUUUUGUGGGGUGCUCGAGUGGCGAACGGGUGAGUAACACGUGAGUAACCUGCCCUUGACUUUGGGAUAACUUCAGGAAACUGGGGCUAAUACCGGAUAGGAGCUCCUGCUGCAUGGUGGGGGUUGGAAAGUUUCGGCGGUUGGGGAUGGACUCGCGGCUUAUCAGCUUGUUGGUGGGGUAGUGGCUUACCAAGGCUUUGACGGGUAGCCGGCCUGAGAGGGUGACCGGCCACAUGGGGACUGAGAUACGGCCCAGACUCCUACGGGAGGCAGCAGUGGGGAAUAUUGCACAAUGGGCGGACGCCUGAGGCAGCAACGCCGCGUGCGGGAUGACGGCCUUCGGGUUGUAAACCGCUUUCGCCUGUGACGAAGCGGGAGUGACGGUAAUGGGUAAAGAAGCACCGGCUAACUACGUG